GACGAACGCUGGCGGCGUGCUUAACACAUGCAAGUCGAACGGAAAGGCCCUGCUUUUGUGGGGUGCUCGAGUGGCGAACGGGUGAGUAACACGUGAGUAACCUGCCCUUGACUUUGGGAUAACUUCAGGAAACUGGGGCUAAUACCGGAUAGGAGCUCCUGCUGCAUGGUGGGGGUUGGAAAGUUUCGGCGGUUGGGGAUGGACUCGCGGCUUAUCAGCUUGUUGGUGGGGUAGUGGCUUACCAAGGCUUUGACGGGUAGCCGGCCUGAGAGGGUGACCGGCAACAUUGGGACUGAGAUACGGCCCAGACUCCUACGGGAGGCAGCAGUGGGGAAUAUUGCACAAUGGGCGGAAGCCUGAUGCAGCAACGCCGCGUGCGGGAUGACGGCCUUCGGGUUGUAAACCGCUUUCGCCUGUGACGAAGUGUGAGUGACGGUAAUGGGUAAAGAAGCACCGGCUAACUACGUG
rnacentral:rRNA from 1 species